rnacentral:rRNA from 1 species
AUUGAACGCUGGCGGCAGGCUUAACACAUGCAAGUCGAACGAGUGGCGGACGGGUGAGUAAUGCUUGGGAAUCUGGCUGAUGGAGGGGGAUAACUACGGGAAACGGUAGCUAAUACCGCGUACCAUAGGAUGAGCCCAAGUGGGAUUAGCUAGGUGGUGGGGUAAAGGCUCACCAAGGCGACGAUCUCUAGCUGGUCUGAGAGGAUGACCAGCCACACUGGGACUGAGACACGGCCCAGACUCCUACGGGAGGCAGCAGUGGGGAAUAUGGCGCAAUGGGGGCAACCCUGAUGCAGCCAUGCCGCGUGUAUGAAGAAGGCCUUCGGGUUGUAAAGUACUUUCAGCAGGGAGGCGUUACCCGCAGAAGAAGCACCGGCUAACUCCGUGCCAGCAGCCGCGGUAAUAC